UACUUAGCAUGAAAGUGCUCAAAUUGUAUAUCUGCAAUCCCCAAGCUGAUGAUCAUUUUUCAUUUUGAGAAACUAAAAUGGGAUUGUAGAUUUUAAAAAAAAAUUCCUUCAAUUUUAUUAGCAAUAGUCAUUAUUGAUAUAUAAUCAUCAUGUCCCAUGGGUUGUCAGGGUUAGCUCAUUCUCUGUUUACAGACUGGCUUAGAAAAGAAUGAGGGAAUCUUCAACAGUACAACCUUGCAGAUACCAAUAAUGAACUAUCAACUCCAAUCUCCCGAAACUACUGCUAUUGAUGAUCGACUACCAAAUUUCAUGCACUGAAUUUUCUUCUCCAUCCCAUCCGCAGAAUGAUCUGAACCAAACUACCCGUAACAAAUGUCGCAGUUCAAUGGUUUCACCGUCCUCUCAACUUAAGAGAGUCGGAAGUAGGAAGCUAUCACCUCGGAACCAGUUGUUUAAAAGUCCUUAUCGAAAGUCUCCCAAAAGGCUUGCAGCAGCAAGAGAUAAAUUGGGAUUGCCUUUUCUCAUCUGAUAUUAUUGCAAAGAAAGACUGUAGAAUCAUUAUAAAUUGUUUGUUUUUGGUUUUAUUUGAAUACCUCAGUGCUUUCAUCAGCUUAAACUGUGUUUAUAUAAUAAAUACUUUAUGUAUAUACAUAAUUUUAAAUGUUUC
rnacentral:lncRNA from 1 species